rnacentral:rRNA from 1 species
CCUACGGGAGGCAGCAGUGGGGAAUAUUGCGCAAUGGGCGAAAGCCUGACGCAGCGACGCCGCGUGAGGGAUGAAGGUCUUCGGAUCGUAAACCUCUGUCAGCAGGGAAGAACGGUCACUGUGCUAAUCAGCAGUGAAUUGACGGUACCUGCAAAGGAAGCACCGGCUAACUCCGUUCCAGCAGCCGCGGUAAUACGGAGGGUGCGCGCGUUAAUCGGAAUUGCUGGGCGUAAAGCGCUCGUAGGCGGUAUGUCAAGUCAAGGGUGAAAUCCCCGCGCUCAACGUGGGAACUGCCUUUGAAACUGGCAAACUGGAGUGUGUGAGAGGAUAGUGGAAUUCCAGGUGUAGGAGUGAAAUCCGUAGAUAUCGGGAGGAACAUCAGUGGCGAAGGCGACUAUCUGGCACAUAACUGACGCUGAGGAGCGAAAGCGUGGGUAGCAAACAGGAUUAGAUACCCCUGUAGUC